GAUGAACGCUGGCGGCGUGCCUAAUACAUGCCAGUCGAGCGAACGGACGAGAAGCUUGCUUCUCUGAUGUUAGCGGCGGACGGGUGAGUAACACGUGGAUAACCUACCUAUAAGACUGGGAUAACUUCGGGAAACCGUAGCUAAUACCGGAUAAUAUUUUGAACCGCAUGGUUCAAAAGUGAAAGACGGUCUUGCUGUCACUUAUAGAUGGAUCCGCGCUGCAUUAGCUAGUUGGUAAGGUAACGGCUUACCAAGGCAACGAUGCAUAGCCGACCUGAGAGGGUGAUCGGCCACACUGGAACUGAGACACGGUCCAGACUCCUACGGGAGGCAGCAGUAGGGAAUCUUCCGCAAUGGGCGAAAGCCUGACGGAGCAACGACGCGUGAGUGAUGAAGGUCCUCGGAUCGUAAAACUCUGUUAUUAGGGAAGAACAUAUGUGUAAGUAACUGUGCACAUCUUGACGGUACCUAAUCAGAAAGCCACGGCUAACUACGUG
rnacentral:rRNA from 1 species